rnacentral:rRNA from 1 species
UACGAAGGGGCUAGCGUUGCUCGGAAUCACUGGGCGUAAAGGUGCGUAGGCGGUCUUUAAGUCAGGGUGAAAUCCUGGAGCUCAACUCCAGAACUGCCUUUGAUACUGAGGAUCUUGAGUUCGGAGAGGUGAGUGGAACUGCGAGUGUAGAGGUGAAAUUCGUAGAUAUUCGCAAGACACCAGUGGCGAAGGCGGCUCACUGCCCGAGUACUGACGCUGAGCAC